UACAGAGGGUGCGAACGUUGCUCGGAAUUACUGGGCGUAAAGCGCGUGUAGGCGGAGUGCUAAGUCGGGCGUGAAAGCCCCAGGCUCAACCUGGGAACUGCGCUCGAAACUGGCAUUCUCGAGUAUCGGAGAGGGUGGCGGAAUUCCUGGUGUAGAGGUGAAAUUCGUAGAUAUCAGGAGGAACACCGGUGGCGAAGGCGGCCACCUGGACGAUUACUGACGCUGAGACGCGAAAGCGUGGGGAGCAAACAGG
rnacentral:rRNA from 1 species